UUCCCAGAUUGUGUGUCGUCCAUUCAGAGG
rnacentral:piRNA from 1 species